CGGCGGACGGGUGAGUAACACGUGGAUAACCUACCUAUAAGACUGGGAUAACUUCGGGAAACCGGAGCUAAUACCGGAUAAUAUAUUGAACCGCAUGGUUCAAUAGUGAAAGACGGUUUUGCUGUCACUUAUAAAUGGAUCCGCGCCGCAUUAGCUAGUUGGUAAGGUAACGGCUUACCAAGGCAACGAUGCGUAGCCGACCUGAGAGGGUGAUCGGCCACACUGGAACUGAGACACGGUCCAGACUCCUACGGGAGGCAGCAGCU
rnacentral:rRNA from 1 species